UACCUUGCAUUUGUGAGUUCCUAACCUUAAAAGCCUCUGAGUUUUCUUUAGUGGAGUCAAUAGUUGUUAUUAAAAUGUGAAAAGAAUAGCUGAUUCUUUCAGAAGACUGUGACAGCCAGGUAGAAUAAAAGUGGCUUAUCCUUAUCUGUCCUGAAAACUGCAUUUUUAACAGGGAACAAUGCACCACUUUUCAGCAGAACAAAAGAUUCCUUCAUUGCCCAAACUCUGGGAAAGAUGACAGCUGCAAAAUCGGAGCCUCAGAGGACAGGUGUUCAUAUAAAAAUUCUGUGCUAGGUGACUAUAAUGUUCACAGUAUCCUUGCCAAACAACUUGGAAAAGGAAGUUGAGGUAACUGUCAUGCUCACCUUCUCAGCUCCUGCCUGUUGGUGUGGGCACAUUUUUAUACAGCCUGUUUCACUUUAGCCUGUAAUUGUUGCAAGAGGAUUUGUUUUCAUGUGUAUAAAACAGGUGGAACAUGGAAAAGCUAUUGGUUUUGCAGCUGUCAUCAUGGAACUGGGCUUCCUCUGUCUGAGCAGUGUUGCAACACCUUAUGAAAAGUGGAUUAAGCUGGCAGUGGAGAAGGGAAUGAACAGAGAAGAAAUAUUUCAACAGCCCCAAAGGCAGGCAAAAGAAAAUCUGUACCGUCUAUGUGAAUUGCAGCCUGUUCUUCAAAUUCAGAAUGUCUAAACCCAAGUUAUUCCCAACUACUGCCACUGAGCUGUAAUUUCUGAUGGAACAAUGAUGAUAAUGUUUACUGCAAAACUAUGUAUUUCUUUUAUUUUCCUUCAGCACUACUUUGUGCUUCAUAAUUUCUUGUAUUUUACAACAAUCCCAUGUUGUCAGUUUCUUAGAAUAGGGAUUGUCAUUCUUUCUUUUUUUUUAAUUUAUUUUUUAUUUUUUUCCCUGGUGAGAGAUCUGGUACAUAUUUGAAUGCAGAAAAUAAUUGUAAUAAUCACAAAAUGACCUGUUGCAUGCUAUGCAAAGGACUCUAGGUACUGAAAAACAUGUAUCAAAUGAUGAAGUUUUAGAUUUGGACAGGAUUUUAACACACAGUCGUUUUGACUUAUUAUAUGUAUUUGUUUGCAUUUCCUUAUGAAACCUGUUUGUCUCUGCUACCUGUGGGAAAUAUCUCUGAAGUAAAAUAUGUAUAGUAACAUCAUCUGUCUGAGUGAUAGCAUGUACAGAAUUCAAA